rnacentral:rRNA from 1 species
UACGUAGGUGGCAAGCGUUGUCCGGAAUUAUUGGGCGUAAAGCGCGCGCAGGCGGUUUCUUAAGUCUGAUGUGAAAGCCCACGGCUUAACCGUGGAAGGUCAUUGGAAACUGGGAGACUUGAGUGCAGAAGAGAAGAGCGGAAUUCCACGUGUAGCGGUGAAAUGCGUAGAGAUGUGGAGGAACACCAGUGGCGAAGGCGGCUCUUUUUGGUCUGUAAACUGACGCUGAGGCGCGAAAAGCGUGGGGGGAUCAAACAGG